UGGAGACUGGUUGUCGUGGAAGCCCAGAUGGAGACCGCUUAUUGUAGAAGCUCAGAUGGAGAUCGAUUGCCGUGGAAGCCCGGAUGGAGACCGCUUAUUAUAGAAGCUCGGAUGGAGAUCGAUUGCCGUGGAAGCUUGGAUGGAGACCGCUUAUUGUAGAAGCUCGACUGAAGAUCAAUUGCCAUGGAAGCUCGGAUGGAGAUCGCUUAUUGUAGAAGCUCGGC
rnacentral:lncRNA from 1 species